UACGUAGGCAGCGAGCGUUGUUCGGAGUUACUGGGCGUAAAGGGUGUGUAGGCGGUUGUUUAAGUUUGGUGUGAAAUCUCCCGGCUCAACUGGGAGGGUGCGCCGAAUACUGAAUGACUAGAGUGCGGAGAGGAGAGUGGAAUUCCUGGUGUAGCGGUGAAUGCGUAGAUAUCAGGAGGAACACCGGCGUGUAGACGGCUCUCUGGACCGUAACUGACGCUGAGACACGAAAGCGUGGUAGCAAACAGG
rnacentral:rRNA from 1 species